CGUCAUUAUCAACCAUUAAGCCUGGCUUGUCGUUGGACUCUGGUCGUGUAAAAAGACCGGUCCGAAAGAUAAUGGACGGGACCUGUUGGCCCUAGAUGCAACGAGCUUCACAGCACGCAUCGAAAGGUCGUUGGCCCCGCCUUUAAACCCCCAUUUCUCAGGUUGACCUCGGAUCAGGUAGGAAUACCCGCUGAACUUAA
rnacentral:misc_RNA from 1 species